rnacentral:rRNA from 1 species
UACGAAGGGGGCGAGCGUUGUUCGGAAUUACUGGGCGUAAAGGGCGCGUAGGCGGUCGUGCGCGUCGGAGGUGAAAUCCCCGGGCUCAACCCGGGAACUGCCUCCGAUACGGCACGGCUUGAGUCCGGGAGAGGGGAGCGGAAUUCCCAGUGUAGCGGUGAAAUGCGUAGAUAUUGGGAGGAACACCGGUGGCGAAGGCGGCUCCCUGGACCGGUACUGACGCUGAGGCGCGAAAGCGUGGGGAGCAGACAGG